UUAAGGUAUUAAGGGUGUACGACGGAUACCUUGGCACAAAGAGGCGAAGAAGGACGUGGUUAACUGCGAUAAGCUACGGUGAGCUGUAAGCGAGUCUUGACCCGUAGAUGUCCGAAUGGGGGAACCCAUCUUUGUUAAUACGAAGAUACACUCAUAGUAACUAUGAGUGAGCUAACUCGGGGAAGUGAACCAUCUCAGUACCCGAAGGAAGAGAAAUCAAAAGAGAUUUCCUUAGUAGCGGCGAGCGAACGGGAAAGAGCCUAAACCAAAGAGAUGUUAAAGCCGGUAAGCGUUGUCUGUUUGGUGUUGUGGGAGCCUAGUGAGUGAAUUACCGUUUACUCAAAGAGUUACAAACUUAUAUUAUAGUAGAAGAGGAUUGAAAGCCUCGCCAUAGAGGGUGUUAGCCCCGUAUAUGAAAUGAUAUGAGCUCUUAUAGGAGUUCCCGAGUAGGGCGGGACACGAGAAAUCCUGUUUGAAUCUGGGUGGACCAUCAUCCAAGGCUAAAUACUCCUUUGUGACCGAUAGUGAACUAGUACCGUGAGGGAAAGGUGAAAAGACCCCCUGUUAGGGGAGUGAAAUAGAAUUUGAAAUCGUAUACCUACAAGCAGUCGGAGACAUAGUUUACUAUGUUGACGGCGUGCCUUUUGUAAAAUGAGCCGGCUAGUUAAUCUCUGUGGCAAGGUUAAGGUGUGUAACCGUAGCCGUAGCGAAAGCGAGUCUUAAUAGGGCGUAAGUCAUUGGGAUUAGACGCGAAGCGGGAUGAUCUAUCCAUGUCCAGGUUGAAUUUCGGGUAACACCGCAAGGAGGACCGAACCAUUGAAUGUUGAAAAAUUCUUGGAUGAGGUGUGGAUAGGGGUGAAAGGCCAACCAAAUUCCGUGAUAGCUCGUUCUCUCCGAAAUAGCUUUAGGGCUAGCCUUACAUGUUUCUUUACGGAGGUAGAUCACUUGAUGGACUAGGGCCCUGAGAGGGGUACUGAAUCCAACUAAAAUCCGAAUGCCGUAAAGUAAGAGUGUAGGAGUCAGACUAUGGGGGAUAAGCUCCAUGGUCGAGAGGGAAACAGCCCAGAUCGCCAGCUAAGGUCCCCAAGAGUAUGCUAAGUGGAAAAGGAAGUGAAUAUACAAAGACAGCCAGGAGGUUGGCUUAGAAGCAGCCAUCCUUUAAAGAAAGCGUAAUAGCUCACUGGUUGAGUGUGUAUGCGCCGAAGAUGUAACGGGGCUUAAGCAUACUACCGAAGCUGCGGACUGUAUAUUUAUAUAUAGUGGUAGGAGAGCAUUCCAGCGUGUUAGAUUAGAGUUGUGAGACUUUAUGUUAUCCUGGAAGAGACUCUGCCGGCAUGAGUAGUGAUAAUCAGGGUGAGAACCCUUGACGCCGAAAAUCUAAGGUUUCCCGGGGAAGGUCAGUCCGCCCGGGGUUAGUCGGAUCCUAAGGUGAAGCCGAAGGGCGUAGCCGAUGGCAAGCAGGUCAACAUUCCUGCACCACCGAAGAGACGUUUGUACGACGCAGGGACGCAGCAGGCUAGGUGAACCGUACCGUUGGUUGAGUACGGUCUGUUACGAGGUCGUGUUUUUUAAUAGGAAUGCAUCAGGCCAAGGAAGCAGAGGAAGUAGGGUUUUUACCCUAUGAACUCAUUGAUGUCAUACUGCCAAGAAAAGCUGCUAAGGAGUUUUUAGGUGUCCGUACCGCAAACCAACACAGGUAGAUGGGUUGAGUAUACUAAGGCGCACGUGUGAAGUCUUCUUAAGGAACUCGGCAAAUUAACUCCGUAACUUAGGGAUAAGGAGUGCCUCAUGUAGAGUGAUUUAUCUUAAAGAGCUCGAAGAGGUCGCAGUGAAUAGGUCCAAGCGACUGUUUAUCAAAAACACAGGACUCUGCAAAAUCAAAGAUGACGUAUAGGGUCUGACGCCUGCCCGGUGCCGGAAGGUUAAAUGGAAGGGUUAGCCACUUGUGGCGAAGCUGUGAAAUGAAGCCCCGGUAAACGGCGGCCGUAACUAUAACGGUCCUAAGGUAGCGAAAUUCCUUGUCGGGUAAGUUCCGACCCGCACGAAAGGCGUAACGAUUUG
rnacentral:rRNA from 1 species